GAGAAAAGAAUAAAAAAAAUUUCUAUUCUCUUUCACGUGUUUUCUUCGUUAAUCCUUUUUCUCUGCUCGUGUUAAUACUUUUCGUUUCUUUUCUAUUCAUGUUUUCUCUCUCUCUCUCUCUCUCUCUUUCACCAUCAUCAUCUCAUAUUCUAUUCCAUUUAAAUUGUAAUCACGUUUUCCAAGGAUUUUUCGUUCAGUGUGUUAAUCAUAAAGACUCUCAGUUGCAAAUUAGAUUCUCUCUCAGAUCCUAUAGUAACAACUACAUGUAAUUAGUUGGAUGCAUGAGGUUUGGACGAAAACGGAUGAAAUUUUUACUAUUUACAAAUAGAAUUGAAAAAUCAACGUGAUGCUUUCAAUCCAAUUAACUAUUGAAUAUUUACGUGAUUAUUUGGUUAAAUUGACUUGAUUUUCAACGUGAAUCCAUAAACUUUGUCUUAUCCGUUUCAGUUUUACCUGCGAUUCAAUCAAUUCAAACUGACCAUUCCAUCGGUUCAUUUUUGUUUUCUCAACUGAAUAGAUUCUGUUGAAUAGAUGAACAUGUUGAUAGGAUAAUAUUUUCCAUGAAAUGAGUUGAUUCAAUUACAAUUCCCUUCAAUCAGUUCAUCUCAUAUUCAAAGGGAGGAAAUUUGUUGCUAUUUCAAUUGAUUAUUGCUACAAAUUGGCUUCUUAUUGAUUAAUAUGAACCAUUUUUCUUACUGUAAUUUGAAAAUGAAACCGAUUUGUGAUAAUUAUCAUUUCAUCAACGAUUGAUUUUCCAAUUUCUUACUAAUCACUUUUGCUACUUCUAGUUAAUCAUCACCAUUAUAAUUAUUACUACAUUAUUAACGAAACAAGAUUACAAUCUUUCAUAAUUGGCCUUGUUGUAAUCGCCGAUGGCUUAGAUCAAUUAUGAAAGCGAACUCGGUAAAUGAUCAACAUGAUUAAUCUCAUAUUUAUAAAUUGAUCAGUUAUUAAUAAUCGCAAUUCAAUUUAACCAACAUAUUAAUAGACUAAAAAUAUUACACUUUGUUUGUUUAAUAUUAGUUUAAAUUAAAACGCAAUUUAGGUUAAUCAAAACGAUGACAAUUUCAAGUCAAUACUCUGAUUAGUAAAUUUGCUUAACUUCAUUUUCCCUUAAUUAACAGCAUCGUAAUCAGAUUGUAAUAUAAUUAUGUAACUGGUUAACUAUCAAUCAACAAAUGGAUCUAAAUGAUUAAUACAUUAAAUCAUUUAGUGUUUUCAACGUGUCGGAAUAUUUAAUAUUCCCAAUGGUCACAAUGGAUUAAUCCGUAGGAUAAAUUGACCGUUGGUCAGUUUGUUACAAUUGAUAAAUUUGGUAAAGUUAAUUUACCAAAAUCCGAUCAAAUUGAUUACCUUUUAUGUCAACAAUUAGUUUGCCAUUUUCUUUCUUGGUAAAUCAUUUGAUCCAUUGGACAAUUUUGAUGAAUUUAAAAGCCAUUUAAAGUUACAUCACAAUUCAAAUGGACUCACAAUU